AAGUCGUAACAAGGUUUCCGUAGGUGAACCUGCGGAAGGAUCAUUACCUUUCAAUGCAGCAGAAUUGGGAUGGUUGAGUAUCUCGCCUCUCCGUUCUGCCUGUAUUCUACCCUUGUUUGUCAUAUACUAUUAUUUCCUCGGCAGGCUUGCCUGCCGAGUGAAACCAUUUAUAACCUUUUUAAUUUUCAAUCAGCGUCUGAAAAAAUUAAUAAUUACAACUUUCAACAACGGAUCUCUUGGUUCUG
rnacentral:misc_RNA from 1 species